rnacentral:misc_RNA from 1 species
GAUGAAGAACGUAACGAAAUGCGAUACGUAAUGUGAAUUGCAGAAUUCAGUGAAUCAUCGAAUCUUUGAACGCAUAUUGCGCUCUUUGGUAUUCCGAAGAGCAUGCUUGUUUGAGUAUCAGUAAACACCUCAACCUCUUCUUGAUUUUUCAAAAGGAGGGUGGACUUGAGCUAUCCCAACAACCUUUACCGGUCGGCGGGCGGCUUGAAAUGCAGGUGCAGCUGGACUUUUAUCUGAGCUAAAAGCAUAUCUAUUUAGUCCUCGUCAAACAGGAUUAUUACUUUUGCUGCAGCUAACAUAAAGGAUAAUUGUCCUCUUUGCUGACUGAUGCAGGAUUUUACGACACUUUAUGUGUUGUUCAACUCGAUCUCAAAUCAAGUAAGACUACCCGCUGAACUUAAGCAUAUCAAUAAGCGGAGGA